rnacentral:rRNA from 1 species
AAAAGCAAAAAAGAGCGAACGGUGGAUGCCUUGGCUCUGGGAGGCGAAGAAGGACGUGACAAGCUGCGAAAAGCUUGGGGGAGGUGCAAAUAACCGUCGAUCCCGAGAUGUCCGAAUGGGGGAACCCGGCACAGUGAAGCUGUGUCAUUCUGUUUAAGACAGAAGGCGAACGUGGGGAACUGAAACAUCUUAGUACCCAUAGGAGAAGAAAACAAAAGUGAUUGCGCAAGUAGUGGCGAGCGAACGCGCAGGAGCCCAAACCAAUGCUGUAGCGAUGCAGGAUUGGGGUAAUAGGACUGCCCACACAGUAGAGAGACACUAAACUGGAACGUAUCUGGAAAGAUAGACCGAAGAAGGUGAAAGUCCGGUACAGGAAAGGUGUUGAUUUACGGGCAUGAUCCUGAGUAGUGCGGGACACGAGAAAUCCUGUAUGAAAUAGGCGGGACCAUCCGCUAAGGCUAAAUACUCCCCAGAGACCGAUAGUGAACCAGUACUGUGAAGGAAAGGUGAAAAGCACUCCGAAUAGGAGGGUGAAAGAGAUCCUGAAACCGUUCGCUUACAAGCGGUCGGAGUUUCGCCUAAGGCGGAAUGACGGCGUGCCUUUUGCAUAAUGAACCUACGAGUUACUUACACUGGCGAGGUUAAGCUUUUAAGGAGCGGAGCCGAAGCGAAAGCGAGUCUGAAGAGGGCGAAAUCAAUAGUCAGUGUGAGUAGACGCGAAACCAAGUGAUCUACCCUUGAGCAGGCUGAAGUUUCGGUAACACGGGAUGGAGGGCCGAACCGGUAAACGUUGAAAAGUUUUCGGAUGACUUGAGGGUAGGGGUGAAAGGCUAAUCAAACUUGGAGAUAGCUCGUACUCCCCGAAAUGCAUUUAGGUGCAGCCUUGUGUUAAAGAGUUUAUAAGAGGUAGAGCGACUGAUUGGAUGCGAGGGUUUCAACGCCUAUCAAGUCCAGACAAACUCCGAAUGGUUAUAAAUGAUACACAGGAGUGAGGGCGCGGGUGCUAAGGUCCGUGUCCGAGAGGAGAAGAAUCCAGACCAUCAGCUAAGGUCCCGAAAUAUAUGCUAAGUUGAAACAAACGAAGUCCGGCUGCUAAGACAGCUAGGAUGUUGGCUUGGAAGCAGCCAUUCAUUCAAAGAGUGCGUAACAGCUCACUAGUCGAGCGGCCAGGCAUGGAUAAUAAUCGGGCAUAAGCAUAUUACCGAAGCUAUGGGAUCGAGAGAUCGGUAGGGGAGCAUUCCGGCGGCGUAGAAGGUUUAUCGGGAGAUAGGCUGGAGCUUCCGGAAAAGCAAAUGUAGGUAUAAGUAACGAUAAUGCGGGCGAGAAACCCGCACGCCGGGAGACUAAGGGUUCCUGAUCAACGAUAAUCGGAUCAGGGUAAGUCGGGGCCUAAGAUUCAUCCCAAGGGAGAGGUCGAUGGAAGAACAGGUUAAUAAUCCUGUACUACUUAAUGGAGUGAAGCAGGGACGCAGGAGUGAAAGUCCGGCGUGCUGACGGAAUAGCACGUUAAAGGGGGUAGAUGCAGAGGAAAGCAGGCAAAUCCGUUUUCCGAGUCGAGCCUGAUAGUACCGAGCGCACUUGUGCAAUCGGAUAAGGAUGUAAGCAGGCUGCCAAGAAAAACUGCUAAGCGAUAAUUCAUUAAGUACCCGUACUCAAAACGGACACACGUAGUCGAGUAGAAAAUACUAAGGCGCUCGAGAGAUUCACAGCUAAGGAACUAGGCAAAAUAGUCAUGUAACUUCGGGAAAAAUGACGCCUCCCCGUGUUGAGCGGGAGGCCGCAGAGAAAUGGCCCAGGCGACUGUUUACCAAAAACACAGGGCUUUGCAAAAACGAAAGUUGAGGUAUAAGGCCUGACACCUGCCCGGUGCCGGAAGGUUAAGAGGAGAUGUUAGCGCAAGCGAAGCAUUGAAUUGAAGCCCCGGUAAACGGCGGCCGUAACUAUAACGGUCCUAAGGUAGCGAAAUUCCUUGUCGGGUAAGUUCC